AUUGAACGCUGGCGGCAGGCCUAACACAUGCAAGUCGAGCGGAGCGGCGGACGGGCGAGUAAUGCCCAGGAAUCUGCCUGGUAGUGGGGGAUAACGUCCGGAAACGGGCGCUAAUACCGCAUACUAGCAGCUGAGCCUAGGACGGAUUAGCUAGUUGGUGGGGGAAAGGCCUACCAAGGCGACGAACCGUAACUGGCCUGAGAGGAUGAUCAGUCACACUGGAACUGAGACACGGUCCAGACUCCUACGGUAGGCAGCAGUGGGGAAGAUUGUACAAUGGGCGAAAGCCUGAUCCAGCCAUGCCGCGUGUGUGAGGAAGGUCUUCGGAUUGUAAAGCACUUUAAGUUGGGAGGCGUUACCAACAGAAUAAGCACCGGCUAACUUCGUGCCAGCAGCCGCGGUAAUUC
rnacentral:rRNA from 1 species